rnacentral:rRNA from 1 species
UACGGGAGGCAGCAGUGGGGAAUAUUGCACAAUGGGCGAAAGCCUGAUGCAGCUAUGCCGCGUGUAUGAAGAAGGCCUUAGGGUUGUAAAGUACUUUCAUCGGGGAGGAAAAACAAAACUAAUAAUUUUAUUUCUUGACGUUACCCGAAAAAGAAGCACCGGCUAACUCCGUGCCAGCAGCCGCGGUAAUACGGAGGGUGCUAGCGUUAAUCAGAAUUACUGGGCGUAAAGAGCACGUAGGUGGUUUUUUUAAGUCAGAUGUGAAAUCCCUGGGCUUAACCUAGGAACUGCAUUUUGAAACUGAAAUACUAGAGUAUCGUAGAGGGAGGUAGAAUUCUAGGUGUAGCGGUGAAAUGCGUAGAUAUCUGGAGGAAUACCUGUGGCGAAAGCGGCCUCCGUAAACGAUACUGACACUGAGUGCGAAAGCGUGGGGAGCAAACGAGGGAUUAGGAUA